rnacentral:rRNA from 1 species
AUUAAACGCUGGCGGCAUGCCUUACACAUGCAAGUCGAACGGUAGCGCGGGGCAACCUGGCGACGAGUGGCGAACGGGUGAGUAAAGCAUCGGAACGUGCCCUGGAAUGGGGGAUAACGUAGCGAAAGUUACGCUAAUACCGCAUAUUCUGUGAGCAGGAAAGCAGGGAAUCGCAAGACCUUGCGUUCUGGGAGCGGCCGAUGUCGGAUUAGCUAGUUGGUGGGGUAAAAGCCUACCAAGGCGACGAUCCGUAGCGGGUCUGAGAGGAUGAUCCGCCACACUGGGACUGAGACACGGCCCAGACUCCUACGGGAGGCAGCAGUGGGGAAUUUUGGACAAUGGGCGGAAGCCUGAUCCAGCCAUGCCGCGUGAGUGAAGAAGGCCUUCGGGUUGUUAAAGG